rnacentral:lncRNA from 1 species
GAUUUUGUUGUGGUUAUUCAGCUGAUUUAGAUAGUAUUAUGUAGUUUAACUAAUUAAUUUAUAAAAAAAUAAGAAAGAUUUUCAUAUACCAAAAAGAGAGUUUAACGUACAUUCAUAAAAAUUUAGAACGUCGUUAGAAAAUUUAGAGCAACAGUAAAAAGUAUAAGUUUCAGUAUAUAGAGCGUUUAACGUAAAACACAUAGAAUUUUUAAAAAAAUUCAAAUAAUAUAAUAAUAUUGUUUUAAUGCAUAGUUGCCUC